AAACACUUAGUCCCCUUUUUGUGUGGACUGUUAAAUGAUAAAAACACUGAUUUGCUAGAAAGUCUGAUUCCUUCUCAGCAGCUCAGAGAAACAUCUGGCUGGUUCUUCAAACACUUGGUGACCACCUUUGUAGAUUGUAGUGACACUGAGGACUGUGAAAUAGACUUGCUGUUCUUAUGUCAGUGUCUCUAUGAGUCUCAGUCUGCUGAAGCCUGUGUUUAUCUUCUGGAUAAACUGGACUACUGUCUUGAUCUGAGUGGGGAGACUCUCGAUCCUCAGCAAUGCCAUGCUGUGUCCUAUAUAAUCACCCAGAGUAAGGAGAGGAAAAUACAGCUGAAGCUGCAAAACACAAAAGUAUCAAAACAAGGAGUGAGACCAUUACUAGGAUGUCUGAGCAAACUCCAAAGCAAUCAUCAUGGUGCUACCACCAUGCUUCACUGAUGCACUGUCCAUGAGAGAUGUCCAAGCGCCAUUGUCCAUAAAUGAGGGGAAUGACGUGUGUCUUCCUCCAGUCUCAGCCUAUCUGCACCUGAGAGAUUUGGUCAUCAGCCAGUUUCCAUUUAAGCCGGAGGAAGACAUUUAUUCAAUGCUGGAUUGUUGACUAAGCUAGAAUCCCAGGCUGAGUAAAUGUUCUCACUGAGUUGUGGACUUGUUUCUGGUGUUUCUUCUGACCAGGCCCGUGGCGAGGAUUCGAGCCUUCAGGACAUCCAGCUGUCUCAGAACCCAGUCGCAAAGAUUGUUGCUUUUCUGUGUGAUCAUGUGUCACUGUAAAUAAACACACUGUACUGAAAAUUUAAGAUUCUGCUUUUUGAGUCCUUCACUAACCAUGACAAAAAAUCAUCUGGAUUUAACAGAGGAAUGAACGAAAGAACUUAGUGAAGUCAUUCACAUGGAUCUCACCUGUCUGUCCAGCAGCUCACAUGUAUUUCAUGUAACUUUAUUCUGUUUCUAUAUCCC
ensembl:lncRNA